rnacentral:tRNA from 1 species
GCGCCGGUGGUGUAAUGGCGUAGAGCAUUCCCGCCCGGUCAGAGGGAGGUGCGGGUUCGAAUCCCGCCUGGCGUU